AUAAAAGGAGUAUGUGAAUAAGUUUUCUAAUAUCAUGGGUAUACGGAUUCAAUACACUAGGUAAUAUAUAUUAUUCACAUAUCGGUGCACCAAAGAGCUCAUUUGACUGCCUGCUUGCGGCUCGCCGAGCUGCUCCCCGUCCAAGCGGCGAGCUAAAUGGAGGAGCAAAAGCUCGGGAGCAAGCCAUCCCUCCAGCAAAAGCUCGUGCUCGCCAGAUUUGGUCCAGUGUGACGCCACCUUUAUAGACACAAAAGCCGAAACCAGGUUCGGGUUAGUAAAUGUGUGUGAGACAGUCUAUGGCGGUUGGCAACUCUGUGCUCGAAGCAUCAGCUGAGCAACACAUGGCGCAAGUGCGGGCGGGGUUAACAACAACAACGUUCAACAACCAUACAAAGAAAACUGGACUAUUGAACAGCUAUUUGAAGACCACAUUGACUAAGAAGUGGAACGGGUUCUGUACGAGUUCUGGAAAAAAAGGGGAAAGGAGCGGACCACAACCACCCAAGAAUAGACAAGAGGAAGCAAAGGGGAGGCCGUGGCAAAGGCUAUCUCCCCGACCUUCAACUGAACUGAACAGAACUGAACUGAAUGGGGGUUAACACUUUACAUGCAGGCUCCCCUUAUCAAGUUCUGCCGAAGGGUCGCCGCGUCCCCGUAUACCCGAGUCGGGCUACGCGGACUGUAGAUGCAGGCUGCCUGGGAGCUGAAUUGGCCCUUCUUUAGCUCCCCAUGGCCAUGAGGCUGACUCUCCCGCAGGUUGCCAAUGUAUACAUCCUUGUUGGCAUAUCUGAGGAUGCAAGUAGAGGUGCCUUCAUACACAGUGAUAUUUACCCCUGAGGGUACCUCAAGCCGCCCUGAGCCAUGGUACACAUUCUGCCGGAACUGUCCCUUGUAGCGGCGGCCAUCUACCCACACCAUAGUUCCCUCUCCAUGAAGUUUUCCACACACCCACUGGCCUGUGACACAGAGCAAAGGCAUGAGGCAUCUCCCCACCUGUCGUAUGAUGGGGAUGGCAGCAGUGACGUCUGUGGCCUGGUCAUCCAGCAAGUCACUGAGGCUGCUGGCCACUGCCUGAGUCACAUCCAGAGGAUGAGGUGCUUGCAUCCUUCUGUGAAGACGCAGAAGAGGAGGUGGCAAUCUUGGUGCUGGAGGAAGAGGUGGCCAGGAAGGGCCUCACUACAUGAUGCACCACAGCCUUCAACAGACUUAGUAACAUUAAUGAUAUGGAGAGUCUUGUUACCUGUGGGUGCAUCUCAUCUGUGGUGCAGACAACACUAUCACACUGACACAACACUGACCGGCAGUGCAUUGUGGCAUCACCUACAGGAAUCUGCUGAA